GGCGCUCUUACGUCAGAAGUAUUGGAUAC
rnacentral:piRNA from 1 species